AUACAGAGGGUGCGAGCGUUAAUCGGAAUUACUGGGCGUAAAGCGCGCGUAGGCGGCUUAUUAAGUCAGAUGUGAAAUCCCCGGGCUCAAUCUGGGAACUGCAUCUGAUACUGGUAAGCUAGAGUUUUGGAGAGGGAAGUAGAAUUUCAGGUGUAGCGGUGAAAUGCAUAGAGAUCUGAAGGAAUACCAGUGGCGAAGGCGACUUCCUGGCCAAAAACUGACGCUGAGGUGCGAAAGCGUGGGUAGCAAACGGGAUUAGAUACCCUAUUAGUCC
rnacentral:rRNA from 1 species